ACUAGUGUCCUUAUAAGUAGAGGAAGGGACACCAGGGGUGUGACCAUGCAUAGAAAAAGCCAUGUGAGGACACAGUGAGAAGGCGGCCAUCUGCAAGCCAUGGAGAGAAGCCUCAGGAGAAACCAAUCCUGUCAACACCUUGAUCUUGGACUUCCAGACUCCAGAACUGUAGCUCAUUUUCCUUACAGUUUGAAGAGGGGAAAAAGCUAAGCAGAUGGCCUGGUGACACAAAGGACUGCAGCCUACUGUUUCUAGAGCUUGUAAAAAUGGAACCCCACGCUGCCAGCUUGGCCGAACUUCAAACGAGUCCCACGAAGAGCGUAACUUGCUCAAGAGGGGGCAGGGACUUGGUGUGAAGCUCUUGAAAGUGCAAAGAACAUUAUCAUUACAUUCAGGGCAGCUUGACCCAGCGCUGGGGUCUGGCCUGAGACCGAAUGGGAAGCUGGUGUCAGAAAACUGCAGUCAGACAGCGCGCUCCAUGGAAGGACUCCAGGGUCGGAAGCAUUUGAAACCCCCGACCCCAGAAUAACGACAAAUUGCCAACAGAUGGCGUGAGUCACGGAAGCGGAGUCUGAGUGAAGCAUCUGCAAACUCACGGCCAAGGUCCUGCCCUGCUGGGCUGAGCGGGCAGACGCAAGUCCCAGCCCAGAUGGCCACGGAGGUCACCAGGAGAGACACCAGCCGUAACACGCUCCACUCCCAAGAGCUCACAGCCUGUAAAGCCCACAGAGGCUUCCCAGGAUCAAACAAACCAAAAUAUCCUGGCCAGGAAGGGCUGUGCAUCUGAGCUCAGCAUGGAAUAAUCCCUUUGCUGUGUUGUCAGCCAGUCUGACUGAAGUUCAUUUCAUCUUCAUUCCCCAAUUAGUUUUCGCUGAUGUUAUGAAUCAUAGAAUAUUCAUCCCCAGUUGUGAAAGGCCACUAUGAAAAUUCAAGGUCCAAGUAUUUCUGUUCCACCCUGUUAUCAAUGGUGUUGGUUUAGGCUCUGGAGUCUAACUGGGAUCCAUUCUUCCCUGAUAAAAUGAUCCUAAUCAGGAUCUGUCUGAGGAAUCCUCACCCACCCCAAUCCAAAAAGAGCAUGUGAAAAAUCUACCUUAAGAGAAAAGAAGAUCCUGCAAGGUGACACUGGUUGGAUGAAUUCUUUUUUUCCCUUCCUACUAUAUUUCUCCAGCAAUAAACUUUAUUAUUUCCCCCCCCCCCCCAUACAAAGACAAAACCUCCAGGUCAGUGCUCAGUUAAUUUUUCUUCUCUUUUGAGACAAAGUUCCUGAAAGGUAUCAGAUGCUCCCAACCAAGUGGGAAAAUCUCAAGGAUUUUCUCUUUUCUUUGGGAAACCCCCUUAGGAUACUUAUUUGAUUAUCACUAAUCACUCUAAUCUACCUUUGAAAGAAGACAAUUGACAAACAACAGGAAUAGACCACAUGCAGUCUUCCAGAGCCUAAUUACUUUUUCUUCUUUUAUGAGUGAGGACAAUGUGUGAAGAGAUCAUAAAAAGAAAAAUUUUAGACAGAUACACCAGAAAUACAGCUACACGUGGAACAACUCCUACAGAACACCUACUGAACGCUGGCAGA